rnacentral:rRNA from 1 species
UGCCAGCAGCCGCGGUAAUACGUAGGGGGCAAGCGUUGUCCGGAAUUAUUGGGCGUAAAGCGCGCGCAGGCGGUCCUUUAAGUCUGAUGUGAAAGCCCACGGCUUAACCGUGGAGGGUCAUUGGAAACUGGAGGACUUGAGUACAGAAGAGGAGAGUGGAAUUCCACGUGUAGCGGUGAAAUGCGUAGAGAUGUGGAGGAACACCAGUGGCGAAGGCGACUCUCUGGUCUGUAACUGACGCUGAGGCGCGAAAGCGUGGGGAGCGAACAGGAUUAGAUACCCCGGUAGUCCACGCCGUAAACGAUGAGUGCUAGGUGUUAGGGGGUUUCCGCCCCUUAGUGCUGAAGUUAACGCAUUAAGCACUCCGCCUGGGGAGUACGGCCGCAAGGCUGAAACUCAAAAGAAUUGACGGGGGCCCGCACAAGCGGUGGAGCAUGUGGUUUAAUUCGAAGCAACGCGAAGAACCUUACCAGGUCUUGACAUCCUCUGACAACUCUAGAGAUAGAGCUUUCCCUUCGGGGACAGAGUGACAGGUGGUGCAUGGUUGUCGUCAGCUCGUGUCGUGAGAUGUUGGGUUAAGUCCCGCAACGAGCGCAACCCUUG